UUCCUCUGCGCUUCAGAGCUUGAAGCCGGGCGAAACGCCUCACCGUGAGGUCAGCAGAACAACAACAACAGCAAGCAAAAUGACAGCUGUGAGGUAUGAACAAGGGAUCCAGCCAAGAGAAUCAACUGGCUCUGCAACAACUGAAGAGGCCACAGUAAAGAUUGAUAACGGUCGUGAUGAGAGUAAUGAACCAGACAGCUGUUCCAAUGCAACUAGAAGAAAAAUUGCCCCGUUUGUGAUGUCAUUUGGAUUCAGAGUAUUUGGAGUUGUACUUAUCAUUGUGGACAUUAUAGUUGUGAUUCUGGAUCUGGCUAUCAGUGAGAGGAAGAAGGGUACAGAGAUUCCUGAAGGUGUUUCCCUGGCAAUAGCACUCUUCUUUCUCAUCGAUGUUCUCCUGAGGGUGUUUGUUGAAGGCUUCAGGAACUAUUUCCAGUCCAAACUGAAUGUUUUGGAUGCGUGUAUAGUGGUGGGCACCCUGUUAAUUAAUUUGACAUACUGCUUCUUAGAUGUUGAUGCAGUAAAGGAGAUACCAAGAAUGGUUAUUUUCCUCCGAAUCCUGAGAAUUGUCAUCUUGAUAAGAAUAUUUCGUCUGGCUUCGCAAAAGGAGCAACUUGAAAAGGUGACCAGGAGAAUGGUCUCUGAAAACAAAAGACGUUAUAUGAAAGAUGGCUUUGAUCUGGAUCUCACUUAUAUUACUGAUCGAAUUAUUGCAAUGUCAUUUCCAUCUUCUGGGAAGCAGUCUUUCUACAGGAAUCCCAUAAAGGAAGUUGCAAGAUUUUUGGACACCAAACAUCCAGGCCACUAUAAAGUCUAUAAUCUCUGCAGUGAACAAGGCUACGACCCCAAGUACUUUCACUACAGGGUGGAAAGGAUCUUCAUUGAUGACCACAAUGUCCCAGCACUACAGGACAUGCUGAAAUUCACUGCCAGUGUCCGUGAAUGGAUGAGUCAGGAUGAGAAGAAUGUUAUAGCAAUUCACUGUAAAGGGGGCAAAGGCAGGACUGGAACAAUGGUCUGUACUUGGCUCAUAGACAGUGACCAGUUUGAGAGCGCAAAGGCAAGUUUGGACUACUUUGGGGAGAGGAGAACUGAUAGAAGCACAAGUACCAAGUUUCAAGGAGUUGAAACACCCUCACAGAGUAGGUAUGUUGGGUAUUAUGAGAUCCUGAAAAACAAGUAUAACUUGGAACUCCCACCAGAGAGACUACUCAAAAUAAAAAACAUCAAAAUCCACGCUAUACAUGGAGUUGGGAAGGGCAAUGGAACUGAUAUGAAGGUGCAGAUAAUAACAAGGAAGAGAAUUGUACUACAAUGUGUAUGUGGCAAUCAAAACAACUGCAGGCUUUUCUUUGAUUCUGAAAGUGACACUGUAGUCAUUGGCUUGGAAGACUGCCCUGUUCUAAGUGGUGAUGUGAAAGUCAGAUUUGAAUGCAAUUCUGCUCUUCCAAAAGGCUAUGAUGGCUGCCCAUUCUUUUUCUGGUUCAACACUUCCUUUAUUGAAAAUAACAGUUACCUGAAGUGCUUGCAGUAAGGCUUAUCAGGAACAAAGUCUGGUUGAAAGCAGUUGGACACUGUACAGUGUGUGGCAAGCAGGACUGUAGCACUGCUGGAAGAUCCACUGGUGAAAGUCAUCUAAGCCCCUAAUGCAGUGAAACUUGCAAUUAAGAUGCCAUUAAACCACCUUCUGCCUGCCAUGACCGUUUGCCACUGGAACAUCAGGCCUUGAGCGUCUCAGGGUGUCCCUUCAUUGCCACCUUCCUCGGGCACACCACCAGGCCUGAUCUGCUCUUAUCUGCAGAAAAUGUGGAGACGGCGACAGCGCUUGAAAUGUUUCCUGGGAGAUUUCACAGCUCUGGAAUGCGGCGCUUCCACGCGCAUAUCGCCACCACGCGGCUUUUUCUGCUGCCUGCACCCGCGGCUGCUCAGCCGAACCCUGCUUUUUGUUCAUGCACCCUGCUGCUGUGGAGCACUUGUUUUGUUUUAAGGAAGAAUUGAUGUAGGAAUUGCAUACCCUGAAGUAACAACACUUGGUGUGUGUAGGGAGACCAUGGAAGAGCUGCCAUGACUCCCGAGAGACUCUCCUAAGAUGAGGUAUCAAUUUGUUUGGAGUUUUACUUCAAGGUUUCCCUCAAAGGAUUUAGGCACGGCAAAAAUGGGAUAUGUGUGCAGAGACCUUAACUCGUAAGAGCUUUGCAGGAAUGUGGAAGUGCUUGCUGACACUGAGAGGUCUGGUUUGGGAUUGAUGAUUGGCUUUGGGAUGUGAUGGUACACCGUGUGACAGAGUGGCGCAACUCCUCUUCAACAGAGUAUUUUGGCAUGAAGGGAUGGGUAACCUCUGGGAAGCUGACAGGGGGAUGCCAUGGAAACUUGUCUGAUGUGGGAGAGCAAAGGGAUCCUUUGCAGGCUGUGUUUCUGUCCAUUCUGCAGUCCCAAGCUAUUUCCUGGGCCCCACACCAUCUCCAGCCAACCACACGCAAACCUUUUGCCUUUGCAAGAAAGGACUUGCACCGAAAUAGCAGCCACAGGACACCUAAAUCUUUCCGAGAAUUUAUUGCCCUCUUAUCAGAAGAAACAAAUUUCUUUCUGCCUCACUCAGCCAUGAAAACGCUGUUAGGAUUCAGAGGAAGACCAGACAGAAUCCUGUGUUUGAGUGGAAUUUAUACAUCAUGUAUGAGAUGUAUGAAUAUGCAACAGGCUAUUGCUUUUAAGGGUUAAUCCUCUGUUAACAUGUAUCCUUUUCGGGUUUAUGUUGCCCAGAAAAGAUACCCCGACGUCCAUAACUCUUUGUGUCUAUUGCCUCAUAUUGUCCUAAUCCUAAUUGU